UACGUAGGUGGCGAGCGUUGUUCGGAAUCACUGGGCAUAAAGCGCGCGUAGGCGGCCAUGUAAGUCCGAUGUGAAAUCUCCAGGCUCAACCUGGAAAUGGCAUUGGAUACUAUUUAGCUUGAGGAGUGGAGGGGGGACUGGAAUUCUCGGUGUAGCAGUGAAAUGCGUAGAUAUCGAGAGGAACACCAGUGGCGAAGGCGAGUCCCCGGACACUUCCUGACACUGAGGCACGAAAGCUAGGGGGAGCAAACAGG
rnacentral:rRNA from 1 species